GGGGAAUUUUCCGCAAUGGGCGAAAGCCUGACGGAGCAAUACCGCGUGAGGGAUGACGGCCUAUGGGUUGUAAACCUCUUUUUUCAGGGAGGAAUAAAUGACGUGUACCUGAAGAAUAAGCAUCGGCUAACUCCGUGCCAGCAGCCGCGGUAAGACGGAGGAUGCAAGUGUUAUCCGGAAUCACUGGGCGUAAAGCGUCUGUAGGUGGUCAAAUAAGUCAACUGUUAAAUCUUGAGGCUCAACCUCAAAAUCGCAGUCGAAACUAUUAGACUAGAGUAUAGUAGGGGUAAAGGGAAUUUCCAGUGGAGCGGUGAAAUGCGUAGAGAUUGGAAAGAACACCGAUGGCGAAGGCACUUUACUGGGCUAUUACUAACACUCAGAGACGAAAGCUAGGGUAGCAAAUGGGAUUAGAUACCCCAGUAGUC
rnacentral:rRNA from 1 species